rnacentral:rRNA from 1 species
GAAACCCGGUGAUCUAGCCAUGGGCAGGUUGAAGGUUGGGUAACACUAACUGGAGGACCGAACCGACUAAUGUUGAAAAAUUAGCGGAUGACUUGUGGCUGGGGGUGAAAGGCCAAUCAAACCGGGAGAUAGCUGGUUCUCCCCGAAAGCUAUUUAGGUAGCGCCUCGUGAAUUCAUCUCCGGGGGUAGAGCACUGUUUCGGCAAGGGGGUCAUCCCGACUUACCAACCCGAUGCAAACUGCGAAUACCGGAGAAUGUUAUCACGGGAGACACACGGCGGGUGCUAACGUCCGUCGUGAAGAGGGAAACAACCCAGACCGCCAGCUAAGGUCCCAAAGUCAUGGUUAAGUGGGAAACGAUGUGGGAAGGCCCAGACAGCCAGGAUGUUGGCUUAGAAGCAGCCAUCAUUUAAAGAAAGCGUAAUAGCUCACUGGUCGAGUCGGCCUGCGCGGAAGAUGUAACGGGGCUAAACCAUGCACCGAAGCUGCGGCAGCGACACUAUGUGUUGUUGGGUAGGGG